rnacentral:lncRNA from 1 species
GCCGAGAUGUUGGAUUUAUCGUCCUGGAGUUUUAAGAAAGACGUAUUUGAAGAACGCUUUGAGAUUUAGAUCCUGAGUGGCCAGUUUCAGGGCAGUGUUUCCAUUUCUGAACGGGAUCUUUAGGAGUGUGAUGGCUGCUGGCCUUCCCUUUCUCUAGUUGCUGGAUGUGUUGGAAAGUGCACUGCUUUGGGAGCAUUUUUGGAAUUCCGUACGCAAAUCCAGAAGCAUUUCCACCUUUCUCUAUGGAAUGUACAUAAGUAUUCUCUGGAUAGGGGUUCGCGUGUGGGAACAUCUGCAGUCUUUAGAUCUACCCACUGUGAAAGAAUGACCAUCUGGGAUUAUGUAGAGCACGCAUGGUCGUCAGAUGAUGGCUCAUCAAUGAAGGGUCCUACAAUCAAUACAAGGCCAAAAUGUGGGUGACUGGGAAGUUGACAUCAAUACGUUGAGGCUACUGUUCUCCUUCUCCCCACACCCUGGCAGUCUGAGGAAUCAGACGUUACUGUGACAAA